UUAUUGGGCGUAAGCGCGCGCAGGCGGUCCUUUAAGUCUGAUGUGAAAGCCCACAGCGCUCAACCGUGGAGGGUCAUUGGAAACUGGGGGACUUGAGUGCAGAAAAGGAAAGUGGAAUUCCCAGUGUAGCGGUGAAAUGCGUAGAGAUUUGGAGGAACACCAGUGGCGAAGGCGACUUUCUGGUCUGUAACUGACGCUGAGGCGCGAAAGCGUGGGGAGCAAACAGGAUUAGAUACCCUGGUAGUCCACGCCGUAAACGAUGAGUGCUAAGUGUUAGGGGGUUUCCGCCCCUUAUGGCUGCACCUAACGCUUUAAGCACUCCCCCGGGGGAGAACGGCCCCAGGACUGAAAUUCAAAGGAUUUGACGGGGGCCCCCCCAACCGGGGGAGCAGGGGGUUUAUUUCAAAUAAACCCAAAAAACCUUACCAGGCCUGGACUUCCCGGGGGGGACCGUAAAAAUAUGGGUUU
rnacentral:rRNA from 1 species